GUGGAGGGUAUAGAGAGCUAUGGAGCUUCUUUUUUGUCUUGAUAUCUCUUAAAGCUCAGUUCUUGGAUGUAUUUUUGUAUGUAUCAUUGAAAAGGGAUUUGAUCAAGGAAUAUUUGCCCAAAAGAGUUGUAUUCUUUUAGAAGUUAGAUGGAAUUUACUUGUAUCCAGAACUUAGCCAUGUAUCCUUGGAAGAAAAACUUUGCUUUUCAUUU